rnacentral:lncRNA from 10 species
AGCUCCUGUUUGAGGCUGUCGUACUCAGCCUCCAGUUCAUCAUACUGCUGUUUGAGGGUCAGCUUCUCCUCCAGCACCACCAGCCCGUACUCGGCAGCCUGGAUCUUCUCGUGGGUGGUCUCCGUGAGCUCCUUGGUGGGAAGCCCCUCCUGUGUGCUCCCGUGGCAUCUGACCUCUGACACGUUGAUGAAUGAUGAUGAACUGCUGAAAAGAGAUGGAACCUGCAAUUGCAGGGUCUCCAUCACUUAGGCUGGAGUGGAGUGGCAUGAUCAUGACUCCCUGCAGCCUCAACCUCCUGGACUCAAGCGAUCCUCCCACCUCAGCCUCCUGAGUAGCUGGAACUACAGAUGAAUACCACCACACUCAGCUAAUUUUUUAAAUUUUUGUAGAGACAGGGUCUGUCUAUG